ACAGCCAUUUUGGAUCUCAUUCUCAGCUCCAGUGUCACAUGACUCCCCCAGAGUCCUGAUAUGGCCAUCAAUCUGGUCCUGAACCUGGGAGCGUUAGACCGGCGCCACCGAACAAUCUGCAGCAGUACAGGUUUCUAAGGCGAACCACAGCUCAGAGCCACGAACAGUGAGUAAUGAUAAUGAUGCUGAUAACAGCCGUGGUUACACAUCAAUGGCAGGUAUAGGAAGGUAGUGAGUGUGUUACGUCAUUGUGGUGAUACAGAGAUGGUACAGAGCAAAUAUUGAAAAUUCUGAAUACAAUUAUAAUACUAUGGGUUAGCUAUAAAUCUGUCAGCACGACCAUAAUCGGACAGAGUAAGCAGUCCUGCUGGUACAGAAGAGAUGAGAGGGAAGAAUAGUGUUCACCCUGUCAGCUCUUCAGAGGAUCAGCUUUACCACGGUCUGCCCCUCCACACACAAGUCUCUCUCCUUGCUGAUCUGAGUGCACUGCCACCUGGUGUCCAAUCAAAGUGAAGCUCUCACGGUGCUCCUCGAGGUGCUUGGGACAAUGGCCAGUCCUUUCAUCAUCUCAGGAAUACUCUCAGGAGCUUGAAAGGAGGAUGACAACAACAUCACAGUGGCGGUGGGGACAGCAUCAGAGGCAGAGGAUGGUGUUCUGGUCAGAAUGUGGAGAAGAUAGAUGCAUUGUCCAUCAUUAUCAACCAGAGGAG
rnacentral:lncRNA from 1 species